rnacentral:rRNA from 1 species
CUCGUAGGCGGCCUGUCGCGUCUGGUGUGAAAGCCCGUGGCUUAACUGCGGGUCUGCGCUGGAUACGGGCGGGCUAGAGUGCGGUAGGGGAGAAUGGAAUUCCCGGUGUAACGGCGGAAUGUGUAGAUAUCGGGAAGAACACCAAUGGCGAAGGCAGUUCUCUGGGCCGUGACUGACGCUCAUGCACGAAAGCGUGGGGAGCAAACAGGAUUAGAUACCCUUGUA